rnacentral:rRNA from 1 species
AACGUAGGACGCGAGCGUUAUCCGGAGUUACUGGGCGUAAAGCGCGGGCAGGCGGUCUGACAAGUCUGAUGUGAAAUCUCCGGGCUUAACCGGGAGAGGCCAUUGGAAACUGACAGGCUGGAGGGCAGUAGAGGUAGGCGGAAUUCCGGGUGGAGUGGUGAAAUGCGUAGAGAUCCGGAGGAACACCAGAGGCGAAGGCGGCCUACUGGGCUGCACCUGACGCUGAGCCGCGAAAGCUAGGGGAGCGAACGGG